GGGGGGGUACUGUCACACCCUGACCUUAGAGAGCCUUUUCAUUUCUCUAUUUGGUUAGGUCAGGGUGUGAUUUGGGUGGGUAUUCUAGUUUUUCUAGUUUUUUGUUGGCCGGGUAUGGUUCCAAAUCAGAGGCAGCUGUCUAUCAUUGUCUCUGAUUGGGGAUCAUACUUAGGCAGCCUUUUUCCCACCUUAGUUUGUGGGAUCUUGUUUUUGCAUAGUUGCUGUGUAGCCUGCUGAACUUUACGUUUGUUUUGUAUUUUGUUGUUUUGUCGGUGUUCAUUUUAAAUAAAAGUAAAAUGUUCGCCUACCACGCUGCACCUUGGUCCAAUGUUUACGACGAACGUAAUACACUGUGAAACUUUUAUGGAUGUGGAAAAGGUGAAACCACUGCUGGACUUGAUCUCACGAGAUUUUGUGGAAACUGAGUUUACUGUCGCACGCCAGUUUCUACAGACUGAAAUCGCCCAAUCUGGAGAAGACAAAUGGCUUACGCAGAGCACUUUGUAUAGAUACUCCGGGCCUCUAACAGCAAUGCCUACUGUGACGAUGGCAUUGAAGCUGUGAUUAACAUUUGGAGCAUCCACGGCAACUUGCAAGAACUCUUUCAACAUUAAAACACGUAUUCAGUGAGGAGCAUGUUGCACAGGAGGAAAGCACAGCUGAUUCAACUGGUGUUUGAGAGGGAUCUUACAAGCAAAUUCCGUGGGGAGUGGAACGAGAGACUGCUGAGGUUCAACACAGCAUCAAGGCAGUUGCAACUCUUUUGAAUCUGUGUAAGAACAGGCAGCCUGGCUGGGCUUAUAUUCUUUUCUUAUUUGCAAGAUUUUGGAAAUGCGUGGCAAAUGUCAGAAAUAGGAAUAGACCUGAUUUUCUUUAUUGGCAUUGCUGCCAAGUCUAUUGCUUGAUUUCUGUGAUGUGAUUGGAAAUGUUUGGUAUAUAAUAUAAUCUAAUUGUUUUUAAUGCUGUUUUAUAUGGUAGAAGAGGUGCUUUGCAUUACAUGGAUGAGGGUGGGCAGACCUUGACCAAUGGUUGAAUAACGAUGUAGCUUUAGUGUUGCCAUAAACAACUCGUUGCUAUGGAAUACUAAUUUCUCUGUUAUCAUACGCAGCGUAGUACGGCAGUCUUGUGGGAAGACAUCUUGGUAGCUGAGUCCAAGCUGCAAUGUACCGAUAAGUCGUGCUAGUGCAUUGUACAUUAUUGCUUGCUCUCUGCAAUUGGAAAUACAUUGUAUUGGCAUGGGGAAGUGUUAUUACGUGGACUCCAAUCAAGUUGUAGAAACAUCUCCAAGGAUGAUCAAUGGAAACAGGAUGGAUCUGAGCUGCAUUUCGAGGCUCAUAAAGGGUCUGAAUACUUAUUUAUAUAAGCACAGCUUAGAAGCAGAAGGCAACAAACAGGCAGGUGCCCAGGCUAAGUGACUGUAUAAAAGCCAGCUAAGUGACUGUAUAAACGGCAGAAAAAUAUACAUUAAACCACCUGUAUUCUCCUAUGGAAAGGGACAUGUUUAGCCAGUAAACUCUGUAUCCCCCCCCCUUGCUCACUUGAACUGGUCCUUCUGCGCAAAACAACGAUGAGGAUGAUGACGAAGAAGGCCAUUGGGAUUAACACAAUAGCGAUUAUUUUUUCCUUGGAUAACCUGCCAGUGCCAUCAGGGGUCAUUGUGGGGGGAUUUGGAUCUGUGUGUGGGAGAAGAGGACAGGGGGAGCAGUUAAAGGACAAAGAAAACAAAUGAUCAUCAUCUAACACUGUUUAACACUAUUACUAUCUUCAGAUCAGACUUUUGGAAUUUCCUCCAUGAACAACAACGAAGUGUCUCUCACACACGAGCAAGAACUCAGUUUGUCUCUUUAUUCUCGGUGCACACGAUCUUGAGCUGAGCAUUGGUGUUCGGUGGGUUUCGGCACUCACCAGGACUCCCAGCAAAACCUCCAGGUCCACCUGUUGAAGACAAACACAUUUAGAAUACCCAGACUGCUGAUCUGUUAUGCAAUUUGCUCUUCUAAUGUAAAAUUACCACAAGAUAUGUUUUGUUUGAAAUACAGUUUGAAUAUUGAAUGGAACUCACCCGUCUGGACAGUUGAAACAAUGCCGGUGCAACCUGUAAUAGCAGUACAGGAAUGGUUAGCUGAAACAAUCUGUAAUAGCAGUACAGGAAUGGUUAGCUGAAACAAUCUGUAAUAGCAGUACA
rnacentral:lncRNA from 1 species